rnacentral:rRNA from 1 species
UUGAACGCUGGCGGCAGGCCUAACACAUGCAAGUCGAACGGUAACAGGAAGCAGCUUGCUGCUUUGCUGACGAGUGGCGGACGGGUGAGUAAUGUCUGGGAAACUGCCUGAUGGAGGGGGAUAACUACUGGAAACGGUAGCUAAUACCGCAUAACGUCGCAAGACCAAAGAGGGGGACCUUAGGGCCUCUUGCCAUCGGAUGUGCCCAGAUGGGAUUAGCUAGUAGGUGGGGUAACGGCUCACCUAGGCGACGAUCCCUAGCUGGUCUGAGAGGAUGACCAGCCACACUGGAACUGAGACACGGUCCAGACUCCUACGGGAGGCAGCAGUGGGGAAUAUUGCACAAUGGGCGCAAGCCUGAUGCAGCCAUGCCGCGUGUAUGAAGAAGGCCUUCGGGUUGUAAAGUACUUUCAGCGGGGAGGAAGGGAGUAAAGUUAAUACCUUUGCUCAUUGACGUUACCCGCAGAAGAAGCACCGGCUAACUCCGUGCCAGCAGCCGCGGUAAUACGGAGGGUGCAAGCGUUAAUCGGAAUUACUGGGCGUAAAGCGCACGCAGGCGGUUUGUUAAGUCAGAUGUGAAAUCCCCGGGCUCAACCUGGGAACUGCAUCUGAUACUGGCAAGCUUGAGUCUCGUAGAGGGGGGUAGAAUUCCAGGUGUAGCGGUGAAAUGCGUAGAGAUCUGGAGGAAUACCGGUGGCGAAGGCGGCCCCCUGGACGAAGACUGACGCUCAGGUGCGAAAGCGUGGGGAGCAAACAGGAUUAGAUACCCUGGUAGUCCAUGCCGUAAACGAUGAUUACUAGGUGUUGGAGGAUUGACCCCUUCAGUGCCGCAGUUAACACAAUAAGUAAUCCACCUGGGGAGUACGACCGCAAGGUUGAAACUCAAAGGAAUUGACGGGGGCCCGCACAAGCGGUGGAGCAUGUGGUUUAAUUCGAUGCAACGCGAAGAACCUUACCUGGUCUUGACAUCCACGGAAGUUUUCAGAGAUGAGAAUGUGCCUUCGGGAACCGUGAGACAGGUGCUGCAUGGCUGUCGUCAGCUCGUGUUGUGAAAUGUUGGGUUAAGUCCCGCAACGAGCGCAACCCUUAUCCUUUGUUGCCAGCGGUCCGGCCGGGAACUCAAAGGAGACUGCCAGUGAUAAACUGGAGGAAGGUGGGGAUGACGUCAAGUCAUCAUGGCCCUUACGACCAGGGCUACACACGUGCUACAAUGGCGCAUACAAAGAGAAGCGACCUCGCGAGAGCAAGCGGACCUCAUAAAGUGCGUCGUAGUCCGGAUUGGAGUCUGCAACUCGACUCCAUGAAGUCGGAAUCGCUAGUAAUCGUGGAUCAGAAUGCCACGGUGAAUACGUUCCCGGGCCUUGUACACACCGCCCGUCACACCAUGGGAGUGGGUUGCAAAAGAAGUAGGUAGCUUAACCUUCGGGAGGGCGCUUACCACUUUGUGAUUCAUGACUGGGGUG